UACAGAGGUCCCAAGCGUUGUUCGGAUUCACUGGGCGUAAAGGGUGCGUAGGCGGUCGAGUAAGUCUGUCGUGAAAUCCCCGGGCUCAACCUGGGAAUGGCGAUGGAUACUGGCGAGCUAGAGUGUGUCAGAGGAUGGCGGAAUUCCCCAAGUAGAGGUGAAAUUCGUAGAUAUGGGGAGGAACACCGGUGGCGAAGGCGGCCAUCUGGACGGAUACUGACGCUGAGACGCGAAAGCGUGGGGAGCAAUCAGG
rnacentral:rRNA from 1 species